GCACAGAGGGGGAAUAGCAAUAGUGUACAUGUGGAUGUCCCGUUAAUAUACUCGCAUAACAUAAACUUUUCAACAACAACGCAAAUUUAAAUUCUAACUAGUUAAGUACCACAAGUUGUAGUUGAACGUUUGCUCACCGGUGCAGGUUAGCUUAGCUGCUAGUUUAGCAUCGGCACGUUGUUUAUCACCAGAGUGCAGGUGGAAGUCAUAACUGGAGCAUCAGAGCCAGUGAUCAAAGGCAGCUGAGUCUAAGCGCUGUGCUGAUUAUGGAUGACACACAAAUAGAGUCAGUGCCUUUUGAAGACUUAGAAGAUGACAACGAUUCCUCAGACGACAACUCUUCAAAGUCAGGGAAAAAGUCAAAGCUCCCUCUGGUUACUUCUACGUGUGCAGAGACACCUCGUGAAACUGGGUUUCAUGAGAGUACCAGAAUCUGCCUGGAGCAGAUGAGAGAAGCCCUGCUUCAUCACAGAUGGCAGGAGGCAGCAGAAUAUAUGGCAUGUUACACACAAAUGUUGGAAGACCCAACCAAUGGCAGAGCUCAGCCGUGUAAGGAGCUUAUCUGGAGGAUCAGCGCUGAGAUCCUUCACCAUCACCCCAACUCAAAGCUGGACGACUACAACAACAUCUAUGAACGAAUGAAACACUCAGGAGUAAAACAUUACCUGAUGAUCUGUCUGGAACAUGCGUUCCACCUGCUGCUCAAUGGUCACAUUGAGGAUGCAAAACGUCAGCUGUCUGCUGCAGAGAGUUGGAGGUACGGGAAGGAGUCGGCAGCUCAGUUACAGAGGACUAAACUGAUCCAAGCCUACAGGAGCUUACUGGAUUACAUCAUCUGGUGUGACAAAAAGUUUACACACUCCAGCACUGAGUAUUCCCACUCUGGUGACAACCAAGACACGCACAACUACUUCAGACAGGCCUCUGUGAAUCUAAAGGAGAUUCUGAAAAAUCCUGGCGUCUGGGAUCCCUUCAUACUGAGCUACGUCGAGAUGUUGGAGUUCUAUGAGGAUCAUGAGGAGGCUUUGAAAGUCCUGAAUGAUUACGCAUAUGACAGCACUUUUCCACCCAAUCCCAAUGCACAUGUCUAUCUGUACCAGUACUUAAAGCGGCAUGAUACUCCAGAGAAGAAACUGAUGAAAGUACUGAAGACCCUCCAUGUGUUAGUCCCAAGCCACGAGUUGAUGUUGGAGUACAGUUCUCUCCUGCUUCAGUCAGAGAAAAAAACUGACACCCAGAAAGCUUUAGAAGUCAUUCUGGAGAUGCUGGACUUUGCCUGCUGGAGGAGCAACCUGGACGUGUGGAAGAGUUUAAAGGCCAUUAUUCAAAAACUACAGUCACAGUAUGUAUUAAAGAGAAGACUGGAAGGACGUUGUCUCUGGAAAAAUGGCUGCGAGGAAAGACUGGUGGCCCGUGCUGCACUUCACAAGCUUCCACGCUAGUAAAGACUCUGAGGAGAACCCAGAGCUCAUGGAAGUGAAGGCAUCACUGAUGAAAAUUCUUUGCCCAGACCUAACGCUCAAGUACUCAGCUGGACAGGUGACCAGUGGAGAGUGAACCAGAGACAAGAACUCAAAGAAACAAUUAAAAUGUGUCUUCAUUGUUCACAAUCAAGAACAGAGCAGGGAUGCUGUUGGAGAAACAAACUGAAAAACUCUGGCAAAGACCAUGAAGUUUAUUUUGACAAGAUUUCUUUUUUGUGAUAAAAUAUUUUCAACUCAAGGUUCACUGACACACAUACCUCCAUAUUUUUUUUUAUUUAAACCUUGUUCCUUCAUGUUACUGAAUUGUGCCAUUACUGAGGCACAAACUACACUGCCCACUGUGUGGAGCUCUUGUCCUGUGUUUGUGCAGCGAGUAUCUGGAGGCUAUGUCCACCUAAUUCUGGCAGAAACUGAGUGUAGCCCUGAAUGUCAGUGUUCAUGUUGUGGUUUCUGUAAACAUUUUAAUGGGAGCAGAGUCUCCCUCUGACCUCAGAUGACCUUUGACUGCUGCACAGAGGGGCUUUAAGGUCACAAGUGUGUGUGUGUGUGUGUGUGUACAGCACUCAGCCUGGGGGAUAUUCUCUCUGUCAAGUCUUUUGUCAGGCCAGAAUAAUCAACACAGAGCUCUCAGCAAGAUAAUGUGUGUAAGUUGAAGUAAGUGGGGCAGACCACUGACAGGUGGUUGCUGGGUAAUGGCGUCGACAGGAAGCGGUUGAAUGUGAGAAGAUCAUAAUUGACCUGUGGUCAGCUUGUGUAUGUUGUGUUUUGCACGUAGUCAGUGUAUGCAGCGCUGUUGAUCUUGAUUUUCACAAAGUGUUGAUAUAGUUUGAUUUAAUCUGUAAAAAUAUUUGCAUGUUUCUAACGACAGGAAUGGGGCCUUCAAACGCCGUGCCUACUCUCCUUCAGACCGCACCAUGAAAUAAAGUCUAGCAUCCAGCAGCAGGCCAAUUUAAUAAGUGAAAGUGUUUGUAAUGAUUCUGUUUCGGCUUGCCACAAUGUUGGCCAUGCAGCAACUCAGUGAGCCGUACUGUAUGUGUGUGUGUGUGUGUGUGUGUAUGUGUGUGUGUUGCUUUGCAGUCAUUACAUAAACCAAAGCCCAAAGCACUUGCCCGACCACAGGAGCAGCUGCAGAAGGGAUCUGGGAAUACAUAACACAUGUCGUUAGAAAAUUCAAAACUCGGGGAGCAGUGAAGAGGAUGGGAGUUAGGAGCUGGUCACCUCUUUGGAUCGUGUCCUGGCGGUGACCUUUUUUGAAGCUUUGAAUUUUUUAAUCACCUACACAGAUGCUCACAGUCGAGGCAGUCGUUGUGCUGUUCUCACUGUCAUGGACCGGCUCUGUGGGGGGUUUGGGAUUUUUUUUUUCCCCCUCAAGGGCACCUUGACAGUUUAGAGCUAAUUUUUUUUGUCCAGGGAGUCAAAAGUGGAGAUUGUCCUGUCUCGGGCCCUGUUUCACUCUGACCCAGUGGCUCCCAACCAUCUCUAUAAAGGGUAACAGCAUUUAAAUUAAGAAUUCCAGUAUGUUAUUUCCAUGGUCUAGGAAAGUUCAGUCAAUAUUUGUGAACAUCUCUCAAAACCAGAAACCAGAGAAUAUAGUCUCGAACAUGUGAUGUCAUCAAGUAUAGUCUGGAGCCUGAUUAUGAAGACCCACAGUGUUUGUUUUCCUUUUUGUAGCCAAAUGAGCUUUAUUCUGUUGUGGAGUUCUCAGCUCUGAAUCAGAAAGUGUACCCAUAUGGACCGAAUCACCAUGACGUCGUGCUAACAACAACAAUCACUUGUGGGUAGGCAACUGCAGUUGAUUUCAGUGGUAGAGAUAUGUGGAAUCUGUUGUCACUUUCAGCCGUAACUGUAACAUUAUACAUGUGAUAUAUAGUUUAAAAAUAACAGCUUAAGUGUAUGCUUUAAGAAUAUUUGCUCUGCUGUACCUUACGUAUUAACCAAUCAAACAUCAAACCUUUUUUAGGCAGCUAAAAACUAAUCAAUUGAGGCAACCUCUGCUCAGUGCUGUUUUAUUUUGUGUUUCGAGUGUUUUCUACUUGAAGUUGACUACUGUCUGUAUCUCAAAUUGCCCCUUGGGGACAAUUAAGUUUACAUUACCUUCCCUUACUUGUUGUAAAUAAACACCGUGA